rnacentral:rRNA from 1 species
ACUCCUACGGGAGGCAGCAGUGGGGAAUAUUGCACAAUGGGCGCAAGCCUGAUGCAGCCAUGCCGCGUGUGUGAAGAAGGCCUUCGGGUUGUAAAGCACUUUCAGUCGUGAGGAAGGUGGUAGUGUUAAUAGCACUAUCAUUUGACGUUAGCGACAGAAGAAGCACCGGCUAACUCCGUGCCAGCAGCCGCGGUAAUACGGAGGGUGCGAGCGUUAAUCGGAAUUACUGGGCGUAAAGCGCAUGCAGGUGGUUUGUUAAGUCAGAUGUGAAAGCCCGGGGCUCAACCUCGGAAUAGCAUUUGAAACUGGCAGACUAGAGUACUGUAGAGGGGGGUAGAAUUUCAGGUGUAGCGGUGAAAUGCGUAGAGAUCUGAAGGAAUACCGGUGGCGAAGGCGGCCCCCUGGACAGAUACUGACACUCAGAUGCGAAAGCGUGGGGAGCAAACAGGAUUAGAUACCCUGGUAGGAUAGCG